rnacentral:rRNA from 1 species
AACGAACGCUGGCGGCAGGCUUAACACAUGCAAGUCGAGCGCCCCGCAAGGGGAGCGGCAGACGGGUGAGUAACGCGUGGGAAUCUACCGUGCCCUACGGAAUAGCUCCGGGAAACUGGAAUUAAUACCGUAUACGCCCUACGGGGGAAAGAUUUAUCGGGGUAUGAUGAGCCCGCGUUGGAUUAGCUAGUUGGUGGGGUAAAGGCCUACCAAGGCGACGAUCCAUAGCUGGUCUGAGAGGAUGAUCAGCCACAUUGGGACUGAGACACGGCCCAAACUCCUACGGGAGGCAGCAGUGGGGAAUAUUGGACAAUGGGCGCAAGCCUGAUCCAGCCAUGCCGCGUGAGUGAUGAAGGUCUUAGGAUUGUAAAGCUCUUUCACCGAUGAGGAUAAUGACGGUAGUCGGAGAAGAAGCCCCGGCUAACUUCGUGCCAGCCGCCGCGGUAACAC